GCUCUCGUAGAUCAGUGGUAGAUCGCCUUCUUUCAAUGUAACUGCUUGCUGGUUGGUUAAGGAGGUCGUGUGGGUUCGACACCCACCGAGGGCA